rnacentral:rRNA from 1 species
GAUGAACGCUGGCGGCGUGCCUAAUACAUGCAAGUCGAGCGAACGGACGAGAAGCUUGCUUCUCUGAUGUUAGCGGCGGACGGGUGAGUAACACGUGGAUAACCUACCUAUAAGACUGGGAUAACUUCGGGAAACCGGAGCUAAUACCGGAUAAUAUUUUGAACCGCAUGGUUCAAAAGUGAAAGACGGUCUUGCUGUCACUUAUAGAUGGAUCCGCGCUGCAUUAGCUAGUUGGUAAGGUAACGGCUUACCAAGGCAACGAUGCAUAGCCGACCUGAGAGGGUUAUCGGCCACACUGGAACGGAGACACGGUCCAGACUCCUACGGGAGGCAGCAGUAGGGAAUCUUCCGCAAUGGGCGAAAGCCUGACGGAGCAACGCCGCGUGAGUGAUGAAGGUCUUCGGAUCGUAAAACUCUGUUAUUAGGGAAGAACAUAUGUGUAAGUAACUGUGCACAUCUUGACGGUACCUAAUCAGAAAGCCACGGCUAACUACGUG